AGGGGAGCCUGGGAGGAGAGAAAAGGUCUGCCUUUGACAUUUGUAACUGCUGAGAACUGAAGGUCAGAUACAGUCCUUUCCACUAAGAAAUGGCUGCUCACCGAAGAGCUCAUGAGAUUUGCUACUGCUGUCACCUCUCAUGGCUUGGUGGUCUGAAAAUAUUGUAGAAAGAAAAGAGUUUCCUAUGCCUCAGCAACUUGUGAAAUACCAGAUUAAGUUUGUGGACACUGUCUCCAGGAUAAAAAGUUUUUAGGCUGGGUGCGGUGUCUCACACCUGUAAUCCCAGCACUUUGGGAGGCUGAGGUGGGUAGAUUGCUUAAGCCCAGGAAUUUGACACCAGCCUGGGCAACAUAGCAAGACCCUGUCUCAAAAAUAAACAAAUACAUAAAUAAUUUUUAAAAAGAAGUUUUUAAGGCCGGGCACUGUGGCUCACACCUGUAAUCCCAGCACUUUGGGAGGCUGAGGUGGGCGGAUUACCUGAGGUUGGGAGUCCAACACCAGCCUGACCAACCCUGUCUCUACUAAAAAUAGAAAAGUAGCCAGGCGUGGUGGCGCAUGUCUGUAAUCCCAGCUACUUGGGAGGCUGAGGCAGGAGAAUCACUUGAAUCUGGGAGGCGGAGGUUGCGGUGAGCUCAGAUUGCACCAUUGCUCUCCAGCCUGGGCAACAAGAGUGAAACUCCGUCUCAAAAAAAAAAAAAA
rnacentral:lncRNA from 10 species